CGCGUAGGUGGUUUGUUAAGUUGGAUGUGAAAUCCCCGAGCUCAACUUGGGAACUGCGUUUGGAACUGUCAGACUAGAGUGCGUCAGAGGGGGGUGGAAUUCCGCGUGUAGCAGUGAAAUGCGUAGAGAUGCGGAGGAACACCGAUGGCGAAGGCAGCCCCCUGGGAUGACACUGACGCUCAUGCACGAAAGCGUGGGGAGCAAACAGGAUUAGAUACCCCAGUA
rnacentral:rRNA from 1 species